UACAGAGGUCUCAAGCGUUGUUCGGAUUCAUUGGGCGUAAAGGGUGCGUAGGCGGCGCGGUAAGUCGGGUGUGAAAUCUCGGGGCUUAACUCCGAAACUGCAUUCGAUACUGCCGUGCUUGAGGACUGGAGAGGAGACUGGAAUUUACGGUGUAGCGGUGAAAUGCGUAGAUAUCAGGAGGAACACCUGUGGUGUAGACAGCUUACUGGACCAUUUCUGACGCUGAGACACGAAAGCGUGGGUAGCAAACAGG
rnacentral:rRNA from 1 species